rnacentral:rRNA from 1 species
CUACGGGCCGCUGCAGUGGGAAUAUUGCACAAUGGGCGCAAGCCUGAUGCAGCCAUGCCGCGUGUAUGAAGAAGGCCUUCGGGUUGUAAAGUACUUUCAGCGGGGAGGAAGGGAGUAAAGUUAAUACCUUUGCUCAUUGACGUUACCCGCAGAAGAAGCACCGGCGUAACUCCGUGCCAGCAGCCGCGGUAAUACGGAGGGUGCAAGCGUUAAUCGGAAUUACUGGGCGUAAAGCGCACGCAGGCGGUUUGUUAAGUCAGAUGUGAAAUCCCCGGGCUCAACCUGGGAACUGCAUCUGAUACUGGCAAGCUUGAGUCUCGUAGAGGGGGGUAGAAUUCCAGGUGUAGCGGUGAAAUGCGUAGAGAUCUGGAGGAAUACCGGUGGCGAAGGCGGCCCCCUGGACGAAGACUGACGCUCAGGUGCGAAAGCGUGGGGAGCAAACAGGAUUAGAUACCCCCGUAGUC